rnacentral:rRNA from 1 species
UACGGAGGAUCCGAGCGUUAUCCGGAUUCAUUGGGUUUAAAGGGUGCGUAGGUUGUUUUAUAAGUUAGCGGUGAAAUACCGAUGCUCAACAUCGGGGCUGCCGCUGAUACUGUAGGACUAGAGAUCGGAUGCAGCAGGCGGAAUGUGUAGUGUAGCGGUGAAAUGCGUAGAUAUUAGGAGGAACACCAGUGGCGAAGGCGGCCUGCUGGACGAUGACUGACGUUGAGGCUCGAAAGCGUGGGGAGCAAACAGG